GGGGGGGGUUAAAAGGGACCUCAGCAGGGCGGAAAGGUGGGGGGGGGGUGGAUUUGGGGUGAGGCUGAGCAUAGGGGAACGCUGUGGGGGUCUGCAGGGCCGGGGGGAGCGGCCCCCGAGAGCAGAAGGAGCCCCAUGGGGGGGGUGGAGCUGAAUGAGGGGCAAUGGUGUGUGAUGGCAGCUGGGAAAGCAAAGGGGACCCCGGGCUGCGUCGGCACAGCGGAGGCAGUGGGGUGGGGGGGGGAUUGGCCCCCUCUGCUCUCAUAGAGGGCCCAUCUGCAGUGCGGGGUCCAAUGCAGGAAUGGCAGGGAGGGGUUGGAGAGGGGCUGCAGGACGGGCGCUGGGGUGGGUGAGGGCACUGAGAGGGGAUGAGGGGCACUGAGGUGGGCACUGAGAUGGGCAGAGGGCACAGAGAUGGGCAGGGGGGCACAGAGAGGGGAAGAUGGGUACUGAGGUGGGCACAGAGGUGGGCAGAGGGGCACAGAGAUGGGAAGAUGGGCACAGAGAUGGGCACAGAGGUGGGCAGAGGGGCACUGAGAUGGACACAGAGAUGGGCACAGAGAUGGGCAGAGGGCACUGAGGUGGGCAGAGGGGCAAAGAAAUGGGCACAGAGAUGGGCAGAAUGGUACAGAGGUGGGCAGAGGGGCACUGAGGUGGGCACAGAGGUGGGUACAGAGGUGGGCAGAGGGGCACAGAGGUGGGUACAGAGGUGGGCAGAGGGCAUAGAGAUGGGUACAGAGGUGGGCACAGAGAUGGGCGGAGGGCACAGAGAUGGGAAGAUGGGCACUGAGAUGGGCAGAGGGGCACAGAGGUGUGCAGAGGGGCAAAGAGAUGGGAAGAUGCCACAGAGAGGGGAAGAUGGGUACUGAGGUGGGCACAGAGGUGGGCAGAGGGGCACAGAGGUGGGCAGAGGGGCACAGAGGUGGACAGAGGGGCACUGAGAUGGGCAGAGGGCACAGAGAUGGGCAGGGGGGCACAGAGAUGGGCAGGGGGGCACAGAGAGGGGAAGAUGGGUACUGAGGUGGGCACAGAGGUGGGCACAGAGGUGGGCAGAAUGGCACAGAGGUGGGCAGAGGGGCACAGAGGUGGGCACAGAGAUGGGUACAGAGGUGGGCAGAGGGCACAGAGAUGGGCAGAGGGCAUAGAGAUGGGCACGGGGGUGGGCACAGAGAUGGGCAGGGGGGCACAGAGGUGGGCAGAAUGACGCAGAGGUGGGCAGAGGGGCACAGAGGUGGGAAGAUGGGCACAGAGGUGGGCAGAGGGCACAAAGAUGGGCAGAGGGCACAAAGGUGGGCAGAGGGGCACAGAGGUGGGCAGAGAUGAGCAGAGGGCGUAGAGAUGGGCACAGAGGUGGGCAGAGGGCACAGAGAGGGGAAGAUGGGUACUGAGGUGGGCACAGAGAUGGGCAGAGGGGCACAGAGGUGAGCAGAGGGCACAGAGGGCAUAGAGAUGGGCACAGAGGUGGGCAGAGGGGCACAGAGACGGGCAGCCCGGUCUGCUAUCACAUCUGGAGGUUAUUGGCCGUGCAUUUUUGGGGGGUCGGAGCUCUGUGAUCUUUGGGGUCCUCCCAAACCACCACUGAUGGGAUCUGGGCAGCCCCGUCUGCUAUCAUAAAUGGGGGUCGGCGGCCGUGCAUUUUUGGGGGGUCGGAGCUCUGUGAUCUUUGGGGUCCCCCCCCGACCCCACCACCGCCCCACGGGGUGACCCCUCCCACCGUCACCCGCAGAGUUCCCGGCUCCGCAGCUGAACGUCAGCAGCGCCUCCCCGGUGGCGACGCAGAACGUGUCGGGGCUGUGCGCUCUGCCGGGGGGGCGCGAGGGGGGCAUUGAGCUGCGGGUGACGGUGGGGCGCAGCGUCGUGGUGGAGCCGUGGGGGCCGUCGCCGCUGCACUUCACGCUGUUGGUGGCGGAGGAACACGACGGCUCCGAGCUGCGCUGCGAGGCCAAAGCGGAGGGCGGAGCUCGGAAACACAGCGGCGCUGUGAGGCUGAACGUCAGCGGUGGGUGGGG
ensembl:lncRNA